rnacentral:misc_RNA from 1 species
CGAAUCAAGGGAAGCGUGCCGGUGCAGGCAAUUGACCACCGUAAGCGUCGUUGCAACCAAUUAAGCGCCGAUACCAAUCAGCGCGACUACGCCCUCGCUGCCUAAGCGACGGUGUGUCUGUCAGACCGGGAGCGCCCUCGGCCCGGACCCUGGCAUCAGCUAGAGGGACCCACCCAUGGGUUCGGUCGCGGAACCCAUGGGGACAUCAAACAGCGACUGGGAUCGUCAUCCUGACUUGUUCGCGUGAUCAGGAGAUCCGAGUAGAGGCAUAGCGAACUGCGCACGGAGAAGCCUCGAGGAAGUGCC